UGGCUGUCACCCGAGUGGGGGGAGCGUGGUUGGACUGUGCAUGAGGUGCGGAGGGCCCAGCUUUUCCAAUGCCGAUCCCGCGCCGACCUCAAGGCAGCGGUCGCCAUUGUUCACCUGCCGGAGGGCGAGUGGACUUGGGCGAUGAUGCGAGAUGAACCGCUUCAGGCUGGAAACAGAGCAAGGAAAAGUCUCCGCCGUUGUCAGUGAGGCGAUCACGUGGGUGAAU
rnacentral:SRP_RNA from 1 species